UUUUCAGAUCUGCUUUCAAAACUAACUGCAGUAUCUCUGUAUCUCUCAGUUCAGAUUCCCAAGAUAGAGAAUUUUGUUCAUCCAGAUCAUUUCUUUAAGCUCUCCCUUUGGGUCACAGGCUGUCUAAUGACUUAACCUCUCUUUGUCCAGUCAGCUACGGCCAAAGGCUGAACUUCCACCACAGAAAAUAGGAACUGCCUGCCAGUUAAGAGAAGUUUAUUCUUUUUAAGAAUUGCUUUAGCUAUUUUUUUUUUGGUCUUUCCACACAAAUUUUAAAAUAAAUGUGUCUAUACCUACAAAAAUAUCUUGCUUAGAUUUUGAUAGGAAUUGCGUUUGAUUUGUAUUUCAAAUUUGAAGAUAAUGGACAUCUUUACUAUGUUGGGUCUUCCAAUCUACAAACCCGGCUUUGCCUAACCACCAAACCCACUGGGACAGACAGACUUCCACAACAAGAUGAAACAAUACACGCACGCCAAGCUGAGUGGCAAAGACCUGAGGAACUAAGGGGAGGAGAAAACCAGAAGAUGGAAGGAACCUGGGUCUCUGAAUGACUGCCUGGAGCAUAACUCCCUUGCCAACCUGUAUUGUGCUGGGAAGUGGUUAACUCCUGGAAGAUACACAGGGAUUUCCCAAUGAUUGCAAAGCAGGCGUGGCAAAAUCACAGUCUUGGAUUCAGAAUGGGAAGCCCAGGUUUGAGUCCUAGCUCUACCACCUUGCUGGGACAAAUCAUUCCACCUUAGUUUGUCUCUAAAAUAAGAAAAAUAUGAACUCUGUCUUUCCAGACUUUCAAAUUCCAUAAGGACAGGGGUCAUGUCCAUUUUUUUAAAAAUUGUCUCCAUACACCUAUCCUAGCACCUGGUAUGUUGUAGCCCUCAGUAAAGAUCAUUGAGUGACUGAAUGAUGAUUGUGGAGACCAAAUAAGGUAAUAGACAUUAAAAUGCUCUAUAAAUCCUGUAGUGGUCUACACAGGGAAGUAUAAUUAUUGCCUAGACUGGGAAUGUAUGGAUUGCCCCCAAACUGAAGAGUCAUUUAUCUAUUUUAGGAUACUGGAAGAUACUUUGGCAAAUAUAUUUCAAAUGUGCAUAAUAACCUUGAUGAGGCCCAGCGCUGUAACGAGAGUGAGAGGCAGGGCAGAGACCUAGCUGUUUUCUUGCCCUUGAAUUCUGAAAUUUCCGCAUUCUUAAAGUAAACUUAUCUUUGUUGUCCAGUUAGCAGAGACAUUUUUUGUUAAUUGAAGCCAGGAGUCUUUAGCAAGCCUAACUAUUAACUAGAAGCUGCUUGAGGGUUCACAUGUAUUCACAGUUCUGAGCACAAUAUCCCGCAAGAAGAAAGUGCUCAGUAAAUGUAAGACAUUGAUACUCAGCUUCAGGGAUGUUCCCUAAUAGCUCCUCUCCAGAAACGGCUCUCCUCCCUGAGCAGUCUCCUUCCAUAAGCAUCUUGAACGGCUUCUCCACCCCCAGAAGUCCCCUUCCAUAAGGAUCAGUAAUUACUACUGAUAUAUUUGUCCCACCUUCCCUUCUGAAACAAUGUUCUCAUGCCCCAGCAUACACCCUCCACCAGGACACAGGGAAUCAUGGUGGAAGUGAAGAGGCUGAACACUGUACUAGAACUGUAAGCUCAUUUAUUGCAUGAAGUUUAUUUAGCAUCAACUAUAAGUUGGUGAAUGUUCAAAGAAGUGAAAGAAGGGAGUCAAAUUUCCAGACUUGGUGACAGGUGAGUAACAUAUAGAGCUUAGAAUUGUUGGUAGAUAGGCACAAACACACAGCUAUAAUAUAAUUUAGAUAUUAUAAUAGAUUCAAGUACACGGCCCUCUGAGAGCUCAGAGGUUAUGCCAAUGUACUGGGACUUGAGAUCAAAGAAGGCUUCAGAGAGUAGGAGAUAUUUGAAUUGGACUGUGAAAUAUGCGUAGGAUUUCUCCAGAUGGCAAGAGUCAGGAAGAAGGGCAUUCUAAGCAGAGGAAAUAACAAGUUCAGCUACAAAGAGGGGUGGACAGAUGUGACAAUGACAGGGACUACACUGCAUCUGGAAAGGCUAGACUAGCAUUUUCCAGAAGAUGCUCUGAGGAAAAAAAGAUGUUCCAUAGCCAAUAAGUUGGAGAAAUGUAUCCUAUAUUCUUUUUUAGAAAUGUAAAAUGCAGACUUGCCUAUUAAAGGCUCUGAGCAAUCAUUUGAGCAGCUACACAUAUAGUCCAGAGAAAUAUAGCAGGGGGGCAUGAAGGGCGACAGGGAAAGUGAAUACAAUAGAGGAUAGAUGUAGACAGAUUUCAGGGGGAGCAUAAGUUGCUAAAUGUCGAAGAAGACUGGGUGUAAGAGGACUAGGUUUUAGCUUGUUAAACUAAAUAGAUAGCAAUGCCAUCUGAGAAGAAAAGUAUUUAGAAAAGGUAACAUGGGUUUUGAAACUUGUCAUGUUGAAUGUGAGCUGACAGUGAGGGAAGCAUGUGAAGAUGUUGAGACAAUUGACAGUACACGUCCAGGAUCCACAAGUGAUGUUGACGCUCAAGAAGAUGCUGGACAACCAUUAGAACUGCAAUAGAAGAGAUCAAGCCCUGGACAGGACAUUGGAUUGGAUGAGGCCAUUUUGGCCCAGGGACUGUAUGAUUUUUAGGGUCAGAGGGACCCAUGCUGAAGAGUGUAGAUGGCCAAGUCUCUGGCUACUGACUGCAUCCAAGUUCAUAACCACCUGCAUCUGACGACAGAAGUACUGACCGCAAAGAAGAGCUCAACAUCUGCACACAUCCCACUGUAAGGAAGUAGACUAAAAGACAUGCAUUUAACCAGUAAAACUUUUCAGGGACCCCGUAAAACCAUUAUUUUUCUGUUGGGCUGUCCUAACUCAGAAGAAACAAUAAAGCCACAGCAUAUUCAAGAUCAUAGAAAACUGCGUACAUUCCUUGUCAUGUACUUUACUGAUCAGUACAGCCUGGUAGAGUGGAGAGAGCACUGGGCUAGGAGUCAGG
rnacentral:lncRNA from 1 species